rnacentral:sRNA from 1 species
UGCCCUGGGUGGCUGCCGGUCAGGUCGGCCGCCCCUGACAGCUCCCGGAGCCUCAGGCGCGACAGCGGCGCCCUCACCUCGGGACAUCCACACACCGACUGCUCCUGUUCCAGAGGCAACCACCCAGCGCGCCUAGCCUGGCGCGGUGCAGCGAAGCCCAAGAGCUGGCCUCGCCACGAAGAGACUGGGUCUCGCCAUGUUGCCCAGGCAUGUCUCAAACUCCUGGGCUCAAGGGAUCUUCCUGCCUCAGCCUCCUGAGGAGCUGGGACUACAGGUUGAACCAGCCAAAUUUUCGAGACAGCUCACGGCUUAGAGGAAGGUUCAUCUAAAUAAAGGCCGGCUAAAGUGACAUUGCAGGGAUUAAAUCCUUCUUUGGCUGCCUGUGUGACCAGAAGGCUUAUUUGCAAGUUUCUUCUUUCCUGAGGUCCAGAUUAUUAGGUCUCCAGCGCCCUGCGGCUUGACAGCAAGAGAAGCAUGAAAUGAAGGUCAGAGAUGAGAUCCCGCAGCAGGGACUUGGGGGCCUCCCAGGGGCAUUUACACACCAGAGUGCAAGAU